CGAAAGUUACGCUAAUACCGCAUAUGCCCUGAGGGGGAAAGGGGGGGAUCGCAAGACCUCUCGCUUUCGGAGUGGCCGAUACCGGAUUAGCUUGUUGGUGAGGUAAAGGCUCACCAAGGCGACGAUCCGUAGCUGGUCUGAGAGGACAACCAGCCACACUGGAACUGAGACACGGUCCAGACUCCUACGGGAGGCAGCAGUGGGGAAUUUUGGAAAUGGGCGAAAGCCUGAUCCAGCCAUACCGCGUGAGUGAAGAAGGCCUUCGGGUUUUAAGCUCUUUCAGCCGGAAAGAGUUACACUUCUUAUACAAAGUGUAAAUGACUGUACCGGAAGACAAGCACCGGCUAAUACGUGCCACAGCCGCGGUAAUACGUAGGGUGCGAGCGUUGUCGGAAUUACUGGGCGUAAACGUGCCAAGCGGUUUUUAAGUCAGAUGUGAAAUCCCCGGGCUAACCUGGGAACUGCAUUUGAACUGGAAGACUAGAUAUAGAAAGGGAGGUGAAUUCCCGUGUAGAGUGAACUGGUAAAUUGUGGAGAAUACCAUGGCGAAGGAGCCUCCGGGUUAUAAUGACGCUCAGCACGAAGCGUGGGAGCAAAAGGUUAAUA
rnacentral:rRNA from 1 species